UUAAGCGACUAAGCGUACACGGUGGAUGCCCUGGCAGUCAGAGGCGAUGAAGGACGUGCUAAUCUGCGAAAAGCGUCGGUAAGGUGAUAUGAACCGUUACAGCCGGCGAUGUCCGAAUGGGGAAACCCAGUGCAAUUCGUUGCACUAUCGUUAACUGAAUACAUAGGUUAACGAGGCGAACCGGGGGAACUGAAACAUCUAAGUACCCCGAGGAAAAGAAAUCAACCGAGAUUCCCCCAGUAGCGGCGAGCGAACGGGGAGCAGCCCAGAGUCUGAAUCAGCUUGUGUGUUAGUGGAACGGUCUGGAAAGUCCGACGGUACAGGGUGAUAGUCCCGUACACCAAAAUGCACAGGCUGUGAACUCGAAGAGUAGGGCGGGACACGUGGUAUCCUGUCUGAAUAUGGGGGGACCAUCCUCCAAGGCUAAAUACUCCUGACUGACCGAUAGUGAACCAGUACCGUGAGGGAAAGGCGAAAAGAACCCCGGCGAGGGGAGUGAAAAAGAACCUGAAACCGUGUACGUACAAGCAGUGGGAGCACCUUCGGGUGUGACUGCGUACCUUUUGUAUAAUGGGUCAGCGACUUAUAUUCUGUAGCAAGGUUAACCGUAUAGGGGAGCCGCAGGGAAACCGAGUCUUAACUGGGCGUUAAGUUGCAGGGUAUAGACCCGAAACCCGGUGAUCUAGCCAUGGGCAGGUUGAAGGUUGGGUAACACUAACUGGAGGACCGAACCGACUAAUGUUGAAAAAUUAGCGGAUGACUUGUGGCUGGGGGUGAAAGGCCAAUCAAACCGGGAGAUAGCUGGUUCUCCCCGAAAGCUAUUUAGGUAGCGCCUCGUGAAUUCAUCUUCGGGGGUAGAGCACUGUUUCGGCUAGGGGGUCAUCCCGACUUACCAACCCGAUGCAAACUACGAAUACCGAAGAAUGUUAUCACGGGAGACACACGGCGGGUGCUAACGUCCGUCGUGAAGAGGGAAACAACCCAGACCGCCAGCUAAGGUCCCAAAGUCAUGGUUAAGUGGGAAACGAUGUGGGAAGGCACAGACAGCCAGGAUGUUGGCUUAGAAGCAGCCAUCAUUUAAAGAAAGCGUAAUAGCUCACUGGUCGAGUCGGCCUGCGCGGAAGAUGUAACGGGGCUAAACCAUGCACCGAAGCUGCGGCAGCGACACUAUGUGUUGUUGGGUAGGGGAGCGUUCUGUAAGCCUGCGAAGGUGACCUGUGAGGGUUGCUGGAGGUAUCAGAAGUGCGAAUGCUGACAUAAGUAACGAUAAAGCGGGUGAAAAGCCCGCUCGCCGGAAGACCAAGGGUUCCUGUCCAACGUUAAUCGGGGCAGGGUGAGUCGACCCCUAAGGCGAGGCCGAAAGGCGUAGUCGAUGGGAAACAGGUUAAUAUUCCUGUACUUGGUGUUACUGCGAAGGGGGGACGGAGAAGGCUAUGUUAGCCGGGCGACGGUUGUCCCGGUUUAAGCAUGUAGGCUGGUUAUCCAGGCAAAUCCGGAUAAUCAAGGCUGAGGUGUGAUGACGAGGCACUACGGUGCUGAAGUAACAAAUGCCCUGCUUCCAGGAAAAGCCUCUAAGCAUCAGGUAACAUCAAAUCGUACCCCAAACCGACACAGGUGGUCAGGUAGAGAAUACCAAGGCGCUUGAGAGAACUCGGGUGAAGGAACUAGGCAAAAUGGUGCCGUAACUUCGGGAGAAGGCACGCUGGUGUGUAGGUGAAGUCCCUGCGGAUGGAGCUGAGACCAGUCGAAGAUACCAGCUGGCUGCAACUGUUUAUUAAAAACACAGCACUGUGCAAACACGAAAGUGGACGUAUACGGUGUGACGCCUGCCCGGUGCCGGAAGGUUAAUUGAUGGGGUUAUCCGUAAGGAGAAGCUCUUGAUCGAAGCCCCGGUAAACGGCGGCCGUAACUAUAACGGUCCUAAGGUAGCGAAAUUCCUUGUCGGGUAAGUUCCGACCUGCACGAAUGGCGUAAUGAUGGCCAGGCUGUCUCCACCCGAGACUCAGUGAAAUUGAACUCGCUGUGAAGAUGCAGUGUACCCGCGGCAAGACGGAAAGACCCCGUGAACCUUUACUAUAGCUUGACACUGAACAUUGAGCCUUGAUGUGUAGGAUAGGUGGGAGGCUUUGAAGCGUGGACGCCAGUCUGCGUGGAGCCAACCUUGAAAUACCACCCUUUAAUGUUUGAUGUUCUAACGUUGGCCCCUGACCGGGGUUGCGGACAGUGUCUGGUGGGUAGUUUGACUGGGGCGGUCUCCUCCCAAAGCGUAACGGAGGAGCACGAAGGUUAGCUAAUCCUGGUCGGACAUCAGGAGGUUAGUGCAAUGGCAUAAGCUAGCUUGACUGCGAGCGUGACGGCGCGAGCAGGUGCGAAAGCAGGUCAUAGUGAUCCGGUGGUUCUGAAUGGAAGGGCCAUCGCUCAACGGAUAAAAGGUACUCCGGGGAUAACAGGCUGAUACCGCCCAAGAGUUCAUAUCGACGGCGGUGUUUGGCACCUCGAUGUCGGCUCAUCACAUCCUGGGGCUGAAGUAGGUCCCAAGGGUAUGGCUGUUCGCCAUUUAAAGUGGUACGCGAGCUGGGUUUAGAACGUCGUGAGACAGUUCGGUCCCUAUCUGCCGUGGGCGCUGGAGAAUUGAGGGGGGCUGCUCCUAGUACGAGAGGACCGGAGUGGACGCAUCACUGGUGUUCGGGUUGUCAUGCCAAUGGCACUGCCCGGUAGCUAAAUGCGGAAGAGAUAAGUGCUGAAAGCAUCUAAGCACGAAACUUGCCCCGAGAUGAGUUCUCCCUGAGACUUUAAGUCUCCUGAAGGAACGUUGAAGACGACGACGUUGAUAGGCCGGGUGUGUAAGCGCAGCGAUGCGUUGAGCUAACCGGUACUAAUGAACCGUGAGGCUUAACCU
rnacentral:rRNA from 1 species